CCCGUUUUUCAACUAAAUAAUAAAUUUACACUUGGCGCCCCAUAUACAUUCAGUUGAGAUGAGCUGGCUCAUCUUAUAUUGUAUUAGUUAAUUUAGUUAUGUUAUUGUUAAAAGAUAUAUUUAGUUGAUUAAAGUAAGUAGGAAAUAACUUAGAUUCCUCAGCCAUGGGCUAGGAUUAUCUCAUUGGAACAGUAUUUUGUUAAUGAUAAGUUGGGUUUUUUUUUUAUUUAUUUAGCUUUGCCAACUAGGGCAGGGUCACCACAACAGCAUAUGCCAAUUACUGUGGGCCCUUUUUUUUACCUAACCCACCCUGUCAACUUUCCCUGUGGGAGGAAACCGGAGUACCCGGGGAAAACCCACGGCUUUCGGCAGAGCGUUGACUUUUACUCUUUUCACAUGGGGACUGGGUUCGAGUCGCACUGAGAAGGUACUUAGUGAGACUCGAACCUGCAGCCUCAGAGGUGACGUGUCACUUGCAUGUAAAUUAAGAUAGUUAAAAUUAUUGUAAACUGAUUGUCUCAGUCAGUUGGCCAUUGCGGCACAGACUGAACGUUGCAACAAGGAUUGUUUUUAAAUAUAUAUGGAAAGGUUGUGAAAUGUGUGUUAGUUGAUUCUGUGAGAACCAGCAGAGGAGUGAACUCCUCAAAACUUAGCUCUCAAUUUGUGCUCGCACUGACUCGUAAACUAGAACAAUUGUAGUAACCAGAGAUGUGUGUUAUUGCUGCCGAGCCUCAGCGAGGCAGCACACUAUUCUCGACGGUACCAGUCUCCACGCGCCGAGUUUAGUAGACCAGCUUGAAUCUCGAUUUUUUGUGUUUGUAUGUCAGCGAUUCAGGGGGGUUACGAAAAUAAAUUAUGCUUGCCGGGGGCACAGGAAGCAGUUACAGGAUGAUGCACACAUAUGUUUCUUUCCUAUACUUUUAAAAAAAUACACAAUCUGACGCUGAAGCUAUCUACAAAUUAUGGCAAUUUUUAUCCGAGGGAACAUUAAUCAAGGCAAUGACUGUUUUGAUGUUAAGUCUAGAGGUAAGCGGUGUACGUGCCUUUAAUAAUUUACUGUAGCCUAUAAAAACCUUUUAGACCUCGCUUGUUUCUAUAAAUGCGUUCGGCACAUGAGAAGCUCGACGUUUGAAACAGGCCUUAGUUAACUCAAUGGUCACCAACGACAUUAAAAUAUAGUAUUUUAUUAUAAGGCGACAAAAUGUAUUAAUAAAAGCGAUGAAUAAUCGGGCUUAUCAUUUGAUUCAUUUGCCGCCGGGUUUCGUGUAGUAUUUGUCCGUGAGAGACCUACCAAAACUUUAAACUUGUUAUUGUAUCGUGUUUGGAGAAUGAGUUCACUGUUCACUUUCGAUAUUUGUUGUCGAUCUGAGCAUAGUUUAUAUUAACUAUGAUCUGAGCAAAAUAUUGAUUUGCCUGCCGAGGCGCACAGCAUUGGACCGCCAAUUGUGGUGAGUGAUACUAAACUGCCUAUUGUGGUG